AUUACUGCCAAUUAAAAUUACUUUGUUCUCUAUAGAAUCAAUUCAAUCAAAAUAACAGACCAAGAAUAGAAAAGUACAGAUAAGCUUGCGUAAGUCAAUCUUGACGGGACUGAGUGAAAUGCGUCGACUUAGGCAAUCUUCGACUUGUGAGUAAGUCAUAGAAAUUCGACUUACGCAUAUGUACAACAUAUGCAACACACAGCCUAGCCAACCUGCAGCGAGCAACAUACAUGUACUUAAUAGCAAUAUAAGUAGUUCACAGAAGUACUUCUUAGUUUUCUCUUUCAGGGAUAUUAGUUUAUUAAAUAGAGUCCCCCUUUCUCUGAAGGGAAACAAAAUGAUAUUUCUAUCAAGUAGGAAUAGUCCUAGCUGCUUGUUAAUCACACACGCACACAUAUACUAGGUGGCAUAACGUACAUUCCUGUCUGAAGAGAGACAAUAGGAGUGGCCCUUAUAGACAGGUAACCCACUACAACAGGUUGACUGCACAUCAUUACUUGUGAUAUGGUCUUCAUAGAUACAUAAAGAGGCACUCAUACAUUGUAUGUGGAUACACAUGUUCAAUACAAUCAACCUCAUGUAUUAAAGACAGUCUAUGGAACUAAAAGAAAAAUAGUUCAACUUGUGCACAUGAGGAUGACCAUACCUGUGAACAGAAUUUACUGCAACACUAAAUUGCAUUCUACCAGACAAUUCUGGGCUAUACAUUUACACAGCAUUUUAACAUACACUAAGUAUACUUCUUCCAUUUAUGUACCUGUGUGCAUGCACAUGAAAUGGAUAAUAAUUUGGUCAUCUUUAUACCGCCAUACUUGUAUGAAAAUAAAACUCAACCUAUUACUAUAUCAAAGUCUGAAUAUUCAACAUUUAUGAUUUCACCUUCAUAAAUAUACAUCAUGUAUGCAUUAGGCUAGUAUGCAUAAAUUUCUGACUUUUUUUUUUAACCAUUCAAAGAUUUUCAAAUACUCUUUACAAGGGUAUACAAGUGUGCCUCUUAAAACAUAUCUAGAGGCGCACCAAGUGAUUUGGUUUUACGAGGGGUGUUGGUCCUCUUGCUGCUAUGUCAGGUUCUCCUUUGUACAUUGCACACUUGAUGCUUACACCAACUUGUGACUGAGAAAUACCAAGUCAAAGAGUAAUAAAUAUAAAUACAGGGACCAUCAAUAUUACCUUCAUAUAUCAAGCAUCUUGUUAUGCUUGGGUAAAAACAAGGGCUGGUACCAGCAACAUUAUUUUGUUACCGGUAUAUAACAGAUCUUUGGGAUGAAAUUCUGCUAUAUGUCGAUGCAGGUGGUCUUUCUAAACAAGUGGUGACUAUAGCAGGUUUGAAUGUUGUUAAAUGCUUUGGUCCUCUAAAUCAUUACCUCUAGGAUGUUUGAAAGCUAGAUAAGUGUUCACAAAUCUCUGCGCCAAUAAUCUGGACGGAUCUUGCACGUUAGCUAGAAUAGAUCACUGUUCACGACUAUUAUUAACGUUCACAAUAUUUUGUUCAAUAAAAGCAUUAGGGCUAUAUUACAUAGCCCAUAGACAAUAAUCUGAGACAAGGUUUGAGAAUCAUUGUAUUCUGGAAAUCAAUUUCUAUUUUCACCUUCUUUGGAAUAGACUAAAGAUACUAGAUAAGCAGCAGUCAAACAAUACGGGACUGCAUGACUGAUCAAACAUACCGGUACUUGGAAGCUUAAAAGGGACCCUGUAUGAUCACUGUGGUAUAAAUCGCACCCACAUAUAAAAUCCCAUACUGGGUGUUGGAAUUGGAUUUACUGUUAGGGUAAACUGAAAUGUCUGAAAUGCUGUUUUUUUCUGUCAAUUAACUUUUGAUGAUAUAUAGGUAUUGUAGCUCUUGACUGAAUCUCAUCGCAUCACAUUAUCUAACAUAAAGCAUACCAUAUAGGUUGAAACACAUAUUUUUACACAUU